UACGACGGGGGCUAGCGUUGCUCGGAAUGACUGGGCGUAAAGGGCGUGUAGGCGGUUUACACAGUCAGAUGUGACAUCCCCGGGCUUAACCUUGGAGCUGCAUUUGAUACGUGUAGACUAGAGUGUGAGAGAGGGUUGUGGAAUUCCCAGUGUAGAGGUGAAAUUCGUAGAUAUUGGGAAGAACACCGGUGGCGAAGGCGGCAACCUGGCUCAUUACUGACGCUGAGGCGCAAAAGCGUGGGGAGCAAACAGG
rnacentral:rRNA from 1 species